UAAUACCCUAGGGCAGCUGAGAUAACUUCUCAAAUUAACAAAUUAGCAAAUCUUAUCCCUUACAAAGGUGUAUCAUAAUGUAGAAGUCUAUGUCUGAAUCACAUGUGUAAACUCUCACUUUAGAUGAUAGUCCACAGCAAUGCAGCUUACCAAAUGCAAAUCCCUGCCUUCAUUGAAGUGUACAGCUCAAUAACUUGAAUUUAUAAACAAGAAGGCAAAGUGUGUUGAACUAGAAGGUCCCCAGGGUUGAAAAUUUCUUAUUUAACCCCUGUAAAAUUUUUAGGUUCAAACAGGUCUAUGUUAAACAUAUGCACCUUGUACUCUACAUUAUGAUACAUUAUCACAGCAAAGCAAUUCCAAGUUCAUCACAAAUCCACAUCUGCCUUCAUUCCAUAUAUCUUUCCAAAUAAAUGUUAAAUUACCAUAGAGUGUGCUUUCCAACAUCAUACAUGCAUGAAUGUUAGUAAGGAAUGGCUGUAGAAAACAUAUGAAGCAUCAAAUGACCCUCAACAAAACAGGCAGUUUUCUGCAGCACUGUGUAGCCUUCUCUGUAAACAGGAAGAAAAGGAUGGAAGAUCUGUUUGUCUUAAGAAUGCCUGUAUUGACCAUCCUCUGCCUUCAGGCUUCUCUCAUAACUGGGUUAGAAUUGCCUCUAUGGACAUAGAUAAAAUCAUAACAGCUACAUUUUGUACACAUUCUGUGCACUCUAAGUAUGUUAGAGCCAUAAACUACUGUAAUGUAAUUUAAAGACUGCCAUCUCUGAAAUUUCUUCUCCUGCUGCUGCCAUUUUUUUUAAAGUUACUGUUGUAAAUAGCAUUUUUGCAGAAUUUACAAUACUGCCAAUGAAUGAGAAACCUCUCAAAAAGCUGACAGUUUUAGAUCACUUCACAGUUAUUCAUUUAAAAAAUAACUAUUUAAAGACCUUAUUCCCAGAAUUACGUAUGUAUAUAGGUUUCUGUCAACUCACAAGUGGCCAGAGAAUAAAGCACUUGUUAAGGAACAAUGUGAUACUAGAAGAGAUUAAUGAGCUUCUGCGUAUGGAUACUUUAAACCCCUGCUUUGCAAGUAAGAGAUACUUAAAGUACUUUAAAAAAAUCUAUGUAUUUUUUUCUCAGCGUUCUGUGGAUUUGCAUGAAAAUCAGUUUGGUUGAGCUACUGAGGAAUUAACAGGACUGACAAAACAGUUGUGAUAAAAUUACCCUAAUAAACUCAUUGACUGCCUGCUCGGAUGGGGUCAUUGGAGGAUCGUCGAUGACUAGGAAAACCCUGUUACACCUGCUGCUUCACCCUGUGGGGGUGAUAUUGAUUGUAAUUAAUUUGCAUUUGGUUGCGCCUGUGUGCUGUCGUGCUCAUUAAAGAGACCUCUGCCUGAUGUUGUUGGUAGUGCAGGUUAAACAACAUUGAGUACCCAAGAGGUAACACCCAGUACUGUUAAGAGAAAGACUAUCCCAAAGUCUGUAGUCCCAGAACAGGUUAAGCCAAUGUACACAGGGCCUCUUUGGUGUGUUUCCUUCAUUCUUUAUGAUCUGCAGGAUCCCUAAUGAUUGGCAGCCAUGAAGUAAGAACAACUUAGAAAGUUUGAAUUGUAUAUUGAGUUAUUGGGUGGUUCAGAAUCUCUCCAGAUAGUUUGUUCUUCACUGAAAAGAAACUGACUGCAAGCAGAAGACACCUUUCCUCAGAAAGCAGUGGCAGAUCCAGCUUAUAUGUAUCCAAACUUCAUGCCUCAACUAAGUAGUGACUUCUGAUGAAGAAGCCCCAGGCUAAUCAGCUGCCAUCAUCACUGCUGUUGGAGGGACUAGCUACAAGGAAGGAAGCUACUUUUAGAGGAGAUUCUAUGAGGAAAUAUUCUGGAGGUCAGCAAGUUUAUCAUCACUUUCUUUAUCGCACCAACAGAACGGGAACAUCCCACAACAGGGCUGCAGCCAUGGCUUCCAGAUGAUGUUAUACACAGACAGCUGCUGUGGG